ACCGGCAGCCGUAUCACCCUGUAGCCCAAGACUGGUUACCCACUGAAGCUAAGCAGGGCUGCGCCUGGUCAGUACCUGGAUGGGAGAUUGGAAAACUAGGAAGAGGUGUUAGUG
rnacentral:rRNA from 1 species